UAACAGUUAUGACAGGUAUAACAGGUAUGACAGGUAUAACAGUUAUGACAGGUAUAACAGUUAUGACAGGUAUAACAGGUAUGACAGGUAUAACAGGUAUG